UGAGAUUAGACUGUUGAACAGCACGAGAACGAAGUCGCGAAAGAAGAGAAACGCUCCUAAAGAACACCAUAGCUUACUCGCUCACAAUACUGCCAUCACCAAAAACCAUAAGAUAAGAAUUCAAGCAAACAGAUACAUAUAGAACCGGAUAAAAGAGAGAGAGUUCUGCAGUUCAACCAAACCAAAGAGUUAAUUCGUUUUGUUGCAAGGAGAGGAAGAAGGCACCGAGUCAGAGGAGAUUUGUUGAAUGGAAAGUGUAUAUAUAGAGGAAUCGAAAACGCUGCUUUCUUUUUUUCCUCUUUUAUGGGGGCUUUUCCAAGGCUAAAGGCCUGGAGGCUGAGGCUUGACCGCGAGUUAGAGAAAAUCGGCGAUGAAUUGAAUUCGAAUAAUACCCUUCAUUUCUGCAUCUAAUCACGAAUUGUCUUCUCGUACUUGGCCCUUCGGCCUUGGGUAGAAUUGAAAAAUUGCACGCGAAUGUUGACUCGUCCGCGUGAGCCUGCAGGAGGUUCCAGUUUUU
rnacentral:misc_RNA from 1 species